AGAGUUUGAUCCUGGCUCAGGACGAACGCUGGCGGCGUGCCUAAUACAUGCAAGUAGAACGCUGAAGAGAGGAGCUUGCUCUUCUUGGAUGAGUUGCGAACGGGUGAGUAACGCGUAGGUAACCUGCCUUGUAGCGGGGGAUAACUAUUGGAAACGAUAGCUAAUACCGCAUAACAAUGGGUGACACAUGUCAUUUAUUUGAAAGGGGCAAUUGCUCCACUACAAGAUGGACCUGCGUUGUAUUAGCUAGUAGGUGAGGUAACGGCUCACCUAGGCGACGAUACAUAGCCGACCUGAGAGGGUGAUCGGCCACACUGGGACUGAGACACGGCCCAGACUCCUACGGGAGGCAGCAGUAGGGAAUCUUCGGCAAUGGGGGCAACCCUGACCGAGCAACGCCGCGUGAGUGAAGAAGGUUUUCGGAUCGUAAAGCUCUGUUGUAAGUCAAGAACGAGUGUGAGAGUGGAAAGUUCACACUGUGACGGUAGCUUACCAGAAAGGGACGGCUAACUACGUGCCAGCAGCCGCGGUAAUACGUAGGUCCCGAGCGUUGUCCGGAUUUAUUGGGCGUAAAGCGAGCGCAGGCGGUUUGAUAAGUCUGAAGUUAAAGGCUGUGGCUCAACCAUAGUUCGCUUUGGAAACUGUCAAACUUGAGUGCAGAAGGGGAGAGUGGAAUUCCAUGUGUAGCGGUGAAAUGCGUAGAUAUAUGGAGGAACACCGGUGGCGAAAGCGGCUCUCUGGACUGUAACUGACGCUGAGGCUCGAAAGCGUGGGGAGCGAACAGGAUUAGAUACCCUGGUAGUCCACGCCGUAAACGAUGAGUGCUAGGUGUUGGAUCCUUUCCGGGAUUCAGUGCCGCAGCUAACGCAUUAAGCACUCCGCCUGGGGAGUACGACCGCAAGGUUGAAACUCAAAGGAAU
rnacentral:rRNA from 1 species